rnacentral:rRNA from 1 species
AUCUUGGGAAAUUUCAUCGUGAUGGGGAUAGAUCAUUGCUAUUGUUGGUCUUCAACGAGGAAUGCCUAGUAAGCGCGAGUCAUCAGCUCGCGUUGACUACGUCCCUGCCCUUUGUACACACCGCCCGUCGCUCCUACCGAUUGAAUGGUCCGGUGAAGUGUUCGGAUCGCGGCGACGGGGGCGGUUCGCCGCCCCCGACGUCGCGAGAAGUCCAUUGAACCUUAUCAUUUAGAGGAAGGAGAAGUCGUAACAAGGUUUCCGUAGGUGAACCUGCGGAAGGAUCAUUG